rnacentral:tRNA from 1 species
UCCCUGCUAUCUCAGAUGGUAAAGAGCCUGCCUGCAACACAGGAGACCUAGGUUCGAUCCCUGGGUCAGGAA